GACGAACGCUGGCGGCGUGCUUAACACAUGCAAGUCGAACGGAAAGGCCCCGCUUUUGUGGGGUGCUCGAGUGGCGAGCGGGUGAGUAACACGUGAGUAACCUGCCCUUGACUUUGGGAUAACUUCAGGAAACUGGGGCUAAUACCGGAUAGGAGCUCCUGCUGCAUGGUGGGGGUUGGAAAGUUUCGGCGGUUGGGGAUGGACUCGCGGCUUAUCAGCUUGUUGGUGGGGUAGUGGCUUACCAAGGCUUUGACGGGUAGCCGGCCUGAGAGGGUGACCGGCCACAUUGGGACUGAGAUACGGCCCAGACUCCUACGGGAGGCAGCAGUGGGGAAUAUUGCACAAUGGGCGGAAGCCUGAUGCAGCAACGCCGCGUGCGGGAUGACGGCCUUCGGGUUGUAAACCGCUUUCGCCUGUGACGAAGCGUGAGUGACGGUAAUGGGUAAAGAAGCACCGGCUAACUACGUG
rnacentral:rRNA from 1 species